AGCAGCAUGGCGCAGCUGGAAGCGCGCGGGGCCCAUAUCAUUACGUAAUCUAUACGCAAUUGGAAACCCCGAGGUCACUCGAUCGAAACGAGUUGCUGCUA